AACGUAGUUCAUGCUCUUGUUGAUGAGGAUAGCGGGGAGGAAUCGGAUCAUGUGAAUUUGAUUGUAAGAAGUAGUUUAUGGAUGUUUAACUUUACGAUGUUUAAGUGUUUGAAUGUAGUUUUAAGGAUAUUUAGAAGUACUUUAAAUUGAAACUUGAGGUUGAAUUUGAAGUUUAUGAUUGUAGAAGUACUUUGAUGAAUUGGACGUCUUGAUGAAUUGCAUUGUUGAUUUGGUUGA